UAUGAUGAAACUACUCAAACAUUUGAGUGGUUGUUUGAUACGUUUGCCACAGCAAUGUCGGGGAAGAAACCAAAGACGAUUCUUACUGAUCAAGAUGCCGCCAUGGCUGAAGCACUAGGUUCUCAAUGGCCACAAACAUAUCAUCGCUUGUGUAUUUGGCACAUAUAUCAAAAUGCAGCAAAGAAUCUUAGUACUGUAUUUGAACGAUUUCGAGAAUUUUCAAAAGAAUUUAGCAACUGCAUAUAUGAUUAUGAUGAAGAAAGUGAAUUUAUUGAGGCUUGGAAUAAGAUGCUAGCGAAAUAUGGUCUUGAAGAUAAUAAAUGGUUGAAAAAGAUGUACAAUUUAAGAGAAAAAUGGGCUUUGGUGUAUGGUAGAGAGACAUUUUGUGCUGAUAUGACAACUACCCAGAGAAGUGAGAGUAUGAACAAUGCAAUAAAAGGUUACGUAAGCUACAAACAUAACCUUUUACGGUUUUUUGAGAACUUUGAAAGAUUGCUUGAGAGUCGUCGCUAUGAAGAGUUGCAAGCUGAUUUUAGAGCAACCCAAACUAAAAUGAAAUUAUCAUUUGAAGUUGAAAUUUUAAAGCACGGGGCAAGCUUAUACACUCCAACAAUGACCAACAUGUUUCAAACUCAAGUAUGUGAAAGUUAUGAUUGUGCAAUGACUUUAUGUGGUGAGAAUGAGACAUUGUCAAAGUACAAAGUUGUCCCAGCAAAGAAAAGGUAUCUCCAUCAUACUGUUCACUUUGAUUCAACUGAUAAUACUGUGACAUGUUCUUGCAAAAAGUUUGAGUUUACAGGUAUAUUAUGCUCACAUGCUCUUAAAGUUUUGUCUGCAAAAAAUGUAAUGAAAAUUCCUCUCCAUUAUAUUUUGAAAAGAUGGACAAAAGAUGCAAAAUUUGGAGAUGAAUUAGAAAAUGAUGUGCAACAUGUAUACAAUAAAGAUCCUAAAGUCAACAUGGCAAAUCGUUAUCGAGAGAUUUGUAGAUUUAUAACUCAUAUAGCAACAAAGGCAUCCGGGGAUGAAAAAAACUAUGAUUAUGCUAUCAGUGGUUUUAGAAAUAUUUUGGAAGGUUUGAAAAAAAUUGAAAUUGGAAAUACUAGUUCAAAUGACCAAGUAUGUUCCCAAAAGAAUGAGAAUCAACUUUCUGGAAGAGAUGAAGAGAUCAACAAUAUCAAAGGAGUGAAAUUAAAAGGAAAAUUUCGUGGCAAAUCUACAAGACAUAAAAGUGCUCUUGAGAAAGCUACAAAAAAGAAAAAACAAGUAAAACACCAAAAGUUACCUACACAUGAGGUAAUUUUUUCUUUUUUGUUCUCUCUCUCUUUUUUUUUUUUUAAUUUUUUUCUAAGUAGUAUUUUUACAAUAUUUGUCUUUAUGUUAUAUGUUCAGGGUAAUUUUAUUGGAAAUAAGCAAUUUACUUUUGAAGACUCAUUUACUCAAGCUUUGCCAAAUUUACAAUCACAUCUCUCAGUGCCAUUACACUACAACCAAUCCUUAUUUCAUGUUAACCAACAUGAGAGUGAGUUCACUCAUAAAGAUUCAAGUACAACAACCAGCAUGAUGGAAUUAUUACAACAGGUACAAUAUACCAAUCUUGAUUUGGUAAUUCAAUUCUUUAGUCACUUAUGUAUAUAAAUAUAAUUUUAAUUGUUUGUUUUAUGAUGUCUAGACACAUUCAUUCUCUACAAGAAACCAUAUCUAAACUUCAUCAACUUGAAAAUGAAAGACAAUAGCUUUUAAAGGUGCAAGUGGCAGCAUAUUGUAUUUCAAGAUUUGAUUAUAAAUUAAACACCCCUUAAAGUUGUGAAAGACUAGUUUGUUAAUGUAUUUUCUUCGGGUCUCGUUUUGUUUUUAGAGAUAUUAUUAGUUAUUUGUUAUUUUUUUUUUUUUGAAUAAAGAGAUAUUAUUAGUUAUUUAAAAUUAUUGGAUGAUGAUUAUUUAGUUUGUAUUGUUUGUAUUUAUUUAUUUUUCACAAACAAUGUAUUUACUCAUGAUAUUGCAAAAUUAUUAAGAUAGUGAUUAUUUAUCAAGUAAAAAAAAUUAUCACUAGUGAAAAAUGUGCAUUUCAAUCCUAAUAUAUUAUUUUAUGUAUUUUUUUUUUUUGAAAUAAGCCAUAGUUUUUUAAGUAUAAAAUUAUAUAAUAAUUUUUUUUUAUAAAUAUAUAUAUAAAGAAAAAUUCAUUUGUAUAAUUAAAAGGAAAGUACAUUUUUUUUUAAUAUAAUUAUAAUAGAUUUUUUUUCUUUAAUAAAAUAUACAAUACAAUCGAUUUUUUUUUUUGUAGCAACAAUACAAUCGAUUUUGAGUUCUCUCAAAAUAUAUAUAUAGUUUUUUUAUUAUUUAUAAUAAAACAUAUAUAUUAAUUAUUAUGUUACAAAAUAAUGAUGAAAAAUAAUGAAUAAGGAACAUUGUUAAAAA